rfam:Ovis aries breed Texel chromosome 3, whole genome shotgun sequence.
UCCCUGGUGGCUCAGAGGUUAAAGUGUCUGCCUCCAAUGCAGGAGACCCGGGUUCGAUCCCUGGGUUGGGAA